AUAUGUGGCUCAAGCAGUAGCGCGCUCGCCUGGCAUGCGUGCGGCCUGGGUUCAAUCCUCAGCACCACAUACA
rnacentral:tRNA from 1 species